rnacentral:misc_RNA from 1 species
AUGCCAUCCGCGACGCUGCCGCGGUUCGACCUCAUGGGCUGGGACAAGGAGGACAUCGCCCACCCCUACCCGGUCUACCGGCGCUACCGGGAGGCCGCCCCGGUCCAUCGCACGGCGGCGGGCCCCGGAAAGCCUGACACCUACUACGUGUUCACCUACGACGACGUGGUCCGCGUCCUGUCCAACCGGCGGUUCGGCCGCAACGCCCGCGUGGCCUCCGGCGACACCGGCCCCGACACCGCGCCCGUCCCGAUCCCGGCCGAGCACCGCGCCCUGCGGACCGUCGUCGAGAACUGGCUGGUCUUCCUCGACCCCCCGCGCCACACCGAACUGCGCUCCCUGCUCACCGGCGAGUUCUCACCCUCGAUCGUCACCGGCCUGCGCCCCCGCAUCGCCGAACUCGCGAGCGAACUCCUGGACCGGCUCCGAGCACACCGCCGGCCCGAUCUCGUCGAGGGUUCGCGGCGCCCCUCCCCGAUCCUCGUCAUCUCCGCACUGCUGGGCAUCCCCCGCGGAGGACCACACCUGGUGCGCGCCAACGCGGUGGCCCUUCAGGAGGCCGGCACCACGCUCGCGCGGCGGCCACGGUACGCACGGGCCGAGGCGGCGUCCCAGGAGUUCACCCGCUACUUCCGGCGAGAGGUGGACCGGCGCGGCGGCGACGACCGCGACGAUCUGCUCACCCUCCUCGUCCGCGCCCGGGACACCGGAUCACCGCUCAGCGUGGACGGCAUCGUCGGCACCUGCGUCCAUCUGCUCACCGCCGGCCACGAGACCACCACCAACUGCCUCGCCAGGGCGGUCCUCACCCUGCGCGCCCACCCUGACGUCCUCGACGAGCUGCGCACCACACCGGAGUCGACACCGGCGGCCGUCGAAGAGCUGAUGCGGUACGACCCGCCCGUGCAGGCGGUGACGCGCUGGGCGUACGAGGACAUCCGGCUCGGCGACCACGACAUCCCGCGCGGCAGCCGGGUGGUCGCGCUGCUGGGCUCGGCGAACCGGGACCCGGCGCGCUUCCCGGCUCCCGACGUGCUGGACGUCCACCGCGCCGCCGAACGGCAGGUGGGCUUCGGCCUCGGAAUCCACUACUGCCUCGGCGCGACCCUGGCCCGCGCCGAGGCCGAGAUCGGUCUGAGGGCCCUGCUGGACGGCAUCCCCGCCCUCGGCCGAGGCGCCCACGAGGUCGAGUACGCCGACGACAUGGUCUUCCACGGCCCGAMGCGGCUCCUCCUCGACCUGCCGGAMGCCACGUDCCCCUCGGCCAGCCACCCCUAGCCCUCGGCCA